GUGGAACUUAAAUUUUGAUUUGUAUUGUUGUUGGGUUGCUAAAUGACAUAUACCUUGCAUCAUAAUCUCCUUGGGCUAUAAUGCAGUUUAUUGCAAUGGGUUUCUUUAUUCUACAUUGGCUAGAGGUAUAAGGGGAGGCUUGAGAUCUCACAAAACAUGCUUAACCCUGUCAUAUUUUUGUGCCUGUCCCAAAUCAGGAACCUCUGGCCUUUUCUAGUCUUGUAUAUUUUUUUAAUUUUAGUUCAUUUAUAUGUUUGUGAGUUUAUUGUGAUAUCCAUUUUCACUGAACUAGUACACAAUUUUAUUUGGAGGGCAGCUGAGGA
rnacentral:lncRNA from 1 species